GUUGUUGUAGGGUGUAGUGGUAACAUACUCGCUUAGGGUGACGUCUUGACUUGACUGCGAGUGAUCCUGCGUUCAAACCGGAGCUGGGACC